rnacentral:misc_RNA from 1 species
UCUCCGUUGGUGAACCAGCGGAGGGAUCAUUACCGAGUGCAAACUCAUAACCCUUUGUGAACCUAUAUCUGUUGCUUCGGCGGCUCGCUCUCGGGCGAGCCCGCCGGUAAUAUCAGUAUCUCUGUUUGAACCCGACGAUACUUCUGAGUGUUCUUAGCGAACAGUUAAACUUUUAACAACGGAUCUCUUGGCUCUA